GCUAGUAAUCGUAGAUCAGCAUGCUACGGUGAAUACGUUCUCGGGUCGUGGACACACCGCCCGUCACCCCACGAGAGUUUGUAACACCCGAAGCCGGUGGAGGAACCUUUUAGGAGCUAGCCGUCGAAGGUGGGACAAAUGAUUGGGGUGAAGUCGGAACAAGGUAGCCGUAUCGGAAGGUGCGGCUGGAUCACCGCCUUU
rnacentral:rRNA from 1 species